rnacentral:rRNA from 1 species
ACUCCUACGGGAGGCAGCAGUGGGGAAUAUUGCACAAUGGGGAAACCCUGAUGCAGCCAUGCCGCGUGUGUGAAGAAGGCCUCGGUUGUAAGCACUUCAGUAGGGAGGAAGGUAGUGUAGUUAACACCUGCAUUAUUUGACGUUACCUACAGAAGAAGCACCGGCUAACUCCGUGCCAGCAGCCGCGGUAAUACGGAGGGGUGCGAGCGUUAAUCGGAAUUACUGGGCGUAAAGCGCAUGCAGGCGGCCUGUUAAGUCAGAUGUGAAAGCCCGGGGGCUUAACCUCGGAAUUGCAUUUGAAACUGGCAGGCUAGAGUCUUGUAGAGGGGGUAGAAUUUCAGGUGUAGCGGUGAAAUGCGUAGAGAUCUGAAGGAAUACCAGUGGCGAAGGCGGCCCCCUGGACAAAGACUGACGCUCAGAUGCGAAAGCGUGGGGAGCGAAACAGGAUUAGAUACCCUGGUAGCACAGAG